GUAAUUUUAGUUUAUUUAGAACGUUUAUUUUGCAUGUAAGAGGUCCAAUUUAGUUGUUGGAAAUUACA
rnacentral:tRNA from 1 species